ACAACCCAUGUAAUACAUAAGAGAAAGAGAUACAUAGUUGGCUUACAAUCACCACUUCACACAAUUACAUGAAUAAAGCAUUACAUCAACCAGAUACAAUCAAGGUCCGACUACGGAACCAAAAUGAAAGAAGACUACCCCAAAUGCUACACAGAUCCCCGAUCGUCCCCAACUGGGCUCCACUACUGAUCAACUAGAAUGAAACAACACAAAGGACAAGAUCUUCAUCGAGCUCCUCCUUGAGCUUGGUUGCGUCAUCUGCAUGGUUCAUCGGCACCUGCAAGCUGGUUUUGGAAGUAUCUGUGAGUCACGGGGACUCAGCAAUCUCACACCCUCGCAAUCAAAACUAUUUAAGCUUAUAGGAAGGGUAAAAGGUAUGAGGUGGAGCUGCAACAAGCGACUAGCAUAUUUGGUGUCUAACACAUACGCAAAAGAGAGCGAGAAGAGAAGGCAAAGCACGUUCGAGAAAUCUAUGAUCAAGAAGUGAUCCUCGAAUAACCUACGUCAAGCAUUACUCCAACACCGUGUUCACUUCCCGGACUCCGCCGGAAAGAGACCAUCGCGGUGACACACCCGACUGAUGUAUUUUAAUUAAGGUCAACUUCAGGUUUUCUACAACCGGACAUUAACAAAUUCCCAUCUUCCCAUAACCGCGGGCACGGCUUUCAAAAGUUCAAAUCCCUGCAGGGGUGUCCCAACUUAGCCCAUCACAAGCUCUCAUGGUCAACGAAGGAUAUUCCUUCUCCCAAGACAAUCCGAUCAGGCUCGGCAUCCAGGUUACAAGACAUCCUCGACAAUGGUAAAACAAGUCCAGCAACACCGCCCGAAUGUGCCGACAAAUCCCGAUAGGAGCUGCACAUAUCUCGUUCUCAGGGCACACUCAGAUGAGCCAGACGUCGGGUAGGCCAGCCCAGAGUUGCCCCUGGUAGCUCCGGACAUCGCUCAGUUGGACCAACACUUAGAGAAGCACUGGCCCGGGGGGAGGGUUAAAAUAAAGAUGACCCUUGAGUCUGUAGAACCCAAGGGAAAAAGAGGCUAGGUGGCGAAUGGUAAAACCAAUGUUGGGCAUUGCUGGAGGAGUUUUAUUCAAGGCGAACUGUCAAGGGGUUCCCAUUAUAAGCCAACAGCGUAAGGAACACAAAAUCUGGGAACAUAACACCGAUAUGACGGAAACUACCUAACUAGGCAAGUUUAAAUGAGGCCGGAAGCAACAAACAACAAUUCCGGAAAAUCCUCAUAUGUAUAUAUUAGGUUUGGUACUGUUCUUCCCUAAAUCAAAUUUUAAGGUUGUUAAACAUGCAAAGAGAUGCCACCAUGAUAAUCUAUGCAUUUUUUUCACCCCAUUUACAUAUAAAGUUUAUUUAAAACUGAGCUACGGUUAUUUAGUUAUGAAUUAAACCAUUUUAGCAAGUUAUUUAAGCAAAUUUAAACAAACAACAUUUUAAACAUUUUAAACAUAGAUGAAAGUUGCAUAUUAUGAAUCUAGACAAAAUUCUAAGCAAGUUUCAUAUAUAACUUAUUUUAAACCGAUGGACGGUUGGUGAGUUAUUAAAUGCAUGUAGUCUAGGGGGUUUUCUGCAAAACUGGGUUCUCUGGAAUAAAAGAUAAAUUCGCAGACAGGAAAAAAACAUGCGAUGGGCUGGAUCUGGGAUGAACUGGGCUGCACAGGAGCAUGCACAAUAGAGAAAUAUCUCGUCCAGGGCGAUGGAUAGCAUGAGAGCGCUUACUCUGGGCCUCACGGGCCUGCUGAAGAUGGGCAGGGGGUUCGGGGCCGGUUGGGACGGAUCGGGCCAGACCGGUUCGAGCGAGCCGGCAGGUACGAGCGGUUUUCAGCUGGUUCGACCAUUCGAUAGUGUUCAGGGUAGAGGAGGCCUGGUCAACGAAAGAUAACUGCAGCUCCCGCUCGCUGCAGCCAAGAUGCAGCGCGGCGAGGGACUUGGCG
rnacentral:lncRNA from 1 species